AUUGAACGCUGGCGGCAGGCCUAACACAUGCAAGUCGAGCGGAUCGGCGGACGGGUGAGUAAUACCUAGGAAUCUGUCUGGUAGUGGGGGAUAACGUCCGGUAACGGGCGCUAAUACCGCAUACUAUCAGAUGAGCCUAGGUCGGAUUAGCUAGUUGGUGGGGUAAAGGCCUACCAAGGCGACGAUCCGUAACUGGUCUGAGAGGAUGAUCAGUCACACGGGAGCGGAGACACGGUCCAGACUCCGAAGGGAGGCAGCAGUGGGGAAUAUUGGACAAUGGGCGGAAGCCUGUACCAGCCAUGCCGCGUGUGUGAAGAAGGUCUUCGGAUUGUAAAGCACUUUAAGUUGGGAGGCGUUACCAACAGAAUAAGCACCGGCUAACUCCGUGCCAGCCGCCGCGGUAAUUC
rnacentral:rRNA from 1 species